UUAACUGCCUCCUUCGCUCCUCGAAACAGCAAAAGUUAUCUACCUCUGGCGCAACGAAUUCUUUACAUAAAGAAAACCUGAGGUUGAUAUUUUUCAAAUAAUUUGCUUGCGAGAAGAAAUGUUUACAAAUAAUCAGAGGCAAGAACAACGAACUGGAAAAUGUGGAACCCCAAAGCUCAAAUAUCUUCAGGUUUUCCUUCUUCUUUUUAAUUUUUAAGUCACAUUAUUGUUUAUCUUGUUGUUUUAGUUCAAAAUUUCCAUUUUUUCUAUCAUCAUUACAGGAAUUGGUGAGUCAAUUUCAAAAUACAACUAAUGAAGGUAUGCUCGUAUUAUUAUUAUUAUUGGAUUGAAUUGCCUCCAAACUAUAUUUUAUCUGCAUCCGGAGAAUUAGAAUUCAAAUGCAACUAUAUAUAUAUUAACAGUGUGGAAUAUUUUAUGUAAAUGUGAUUUUUGAAUUAAAUAAAGUUUGGACAAUUUGAGAGUUUGUGGGAUCAACUUAAAUUUGAAAUGAAACAACAAGAAUCUACUCUUAGGUUUGCCUAAAUUUGAACUUUAAUUCACAGGCACACCGAGUUUCAGGUUUUUUAAAUGUAUGAUGCAAUGGUCUUCCUGUGAUAGCAUCCGACUGUCCUGUUUCAAUCUUUUAAUUUGUCCUUUUCCCUGUUCGACAGUUAAUUUUUUUUCCCACUUAGAAUCCUCAAUUUUGAAAUUUUAUGAAUGGUUUGUUCUUGCGGUUGCAGAAACCAAAGAGAGGAUUGUUGCUAACUUGGCAAAUUUUAUCCUUUCAAUACAUUUAUGUUGUUGGAAUUAUUUUGCAAUGAAUGUGAACUGGGCUGUCUGUCUCUUACAUAUUCUGUCCCACCUAAAUAUCUUUUGUAUGUGGUGUUUGAUCAGCUCAAUGUUUUGGAACUCUUCCUAGAUUGCAUAACAAAACCAAAUUAGAAGCUUGUAAAAUUUGGGAAUAGGGAUGUAUGCAAUUCUUGUUCUGGUAAGUCGAACAAUGUAAACGUUUUAGCUCUUGAAGAAGUUAAUAGUGAUGACAAUAUUUCUUUCUUCGCUGUCAAUAUAUUUGUCAUUCAAUGUGGUGUUAUACCCCUUAUCAUCCAAGGUUUAUCAAGCCCAGGUAGAAACACAGGAAGCGUGUGUUCCUUUGGUUUUUACCUUAUUAUCUUGAAACUUUACUCUCAAAACCUGAAUAUUGGAUCUUAAGAGGAGAAUGCAGCUAAUUGUAGGUUUGUUUUUAUAAUUCCUAGAAACAAGAAACGGGAUAUUUUUAAGAAAGUAAAAUCUUUCUCAUGACCCUUGAUCAACAACUUCAUAAUUGAAUUACAAGUCAAUUGACAAUUAGUAAAUAUUUAAGGCAAGUGAUAUGCAUUUCUAGUCUUAAUAAAUUUCAUAAUAAACCAUACAAACCAUUAGAAUACAGUUGCUACUGCUACUGCUACUGCAUGAUUUUAUUAUACAAGGCCACUACUUCCACAUAUAUCAGAUAGACACAAACCAACAUUAGUUCUAAUUCCCACAUAGCAGUAGCUUUCCUAAUUUAUAAGAGUAGUAGGCAUCAACACAUGCAUACUUCACUUGAGCAUGAGUAAGCUGCUUAGCAUCCCAAUUACUCAAGGUGACAUACUUUGGCUUCUCCAACUCUUCCCCAAUAAUUGUCUCCACCAAUGUUUUUAACCCUGCUCUCUUGAAUUCUUUGUGAUCAAACUCGUGCGCAGAUAGAUCUGCAAUAUCUGCAAUGAACGAUAUCUCCAAAUCAUAGUCCUUGGAAAGCUUCUUUGCAUCCCCGGAUAUACGAACUCCAGUAUAGAUUAUAUUAGGAUUAAGGAGGGCUUUGUAGAGGGAUCGAGGAAUGCAUGUAGCUUGGUAGAUUUGAAAGAUAAGGCAGCAUUUGCUGAUGCAGAGUUGGAGUAUUCCUACUGGGUUUUGAGCCCCACCACGUAUGAAGGUUGGACGCCAUUCAAUGUCAAGGCCAACAAUUUUCUGGUGAUGGUGACAUGGAGCUUGGAGGUGGUCUUUGAUCCAUCUAUCUACCACCGUCCUUGAGGAGGUUACUGUGGCUUGGACUAUGCGGUGGUGAAUAGUGACUUCGUACAAUUUCUGUGUUUUAGUUCGAGAGUGAAGUUCUUCAAUGGUGACACCCAUGUCUUACAGACAACAGGAGAUUGGAGUUGGUGAAGUUGAAGAGAGUUAGAAGUGGUAAUUUAAAGCGUAAAGUGGCAAUCCAAUAAUGGAAGUAAAGAAGUGUCUUUAGUUGAAUAGGACAUCAAAGUAGCAAUAAUGGAGCCGUAGAAAGCAGAGAUGACUCAGAUGAGGGUACCCACUGAAGCAAAGUAUAAGUUCAGCAACAACUUCAACGGUAAGGAAUACAGAGAUGUACAAAACGAUAUGAGAAAAUGGACAAAGCUUUUCAAGGCAUGGCUUUACUUGGUUACUAUCAUAUAUACAUGAACUUUUUACUGUAAAUGAGUCAGAAAUUCUUAAAGAAAGAGAGAGAGCUGUCAAGCUUUCAAACCUUUAACCUUUCGCAUUAUGAAAGGUUAGUGUAUUACUAUCUUAAUGGCAUUAAAGAGCCAAGAAAAUCACUUUCAAAAGAAUAAAGAAAAAAAGAAACGGGGAAUUUUUUUUUUCACUUUUUGGCUUCUUGCAAUAAUCUACUUCCUUUUGUUGUUGUGGCUGUGCUUUUUUUCCCCAAUAGCUUAUCCAAUUAUAAAUGAAUUUAAUAAAAUUUUACAAAAUUAGUUGCUCAAAAAACAUUUCAUACAACAUGUUUAUAAAAAGGAAUUCAGCUAAGUCAACAUAAAUUCCCUUCCUGUUUACAACUUCUCUUUCUGUUAAUUACCAACCAAAAUAUUUGAUAAGAAUAUUUAAUCUUUUGCAUGCACUGAAGCGAUGGCAGAUUUUUCAAUUAAAUUCUUUUUUCUUUUUUUCUUAAGAAAAAGAUGUCAAAUACAUACACAGUACUUCACAUUAGCAACAUUAGUAACAUUCAUAGAAAAAUAGAUACUAAAAGAAAAAACAUUACAAACAUAAAACUAUUUGUGGAAAAAAAAGUACAGUAAGGACUCAAGCUUCACAAAACAGAAAACAUGAAUUUAUGCAUAUGGUCUGCCAUUAAUUUAGCAUCUUAUGAUUCAUUUGAAUUUGCAUUUGCAUCAGGUUAUCAUCAACCUUGUAAACCUGCAAUCAUAAAAAUAAAAAGAAAUUGGAGUUCUAAUUAGUUAUCUAGCUUCACUUCGACAAUCAUAUAGUUGAAGUAUCCAUGAAAUUAUAUCAUCUAAAAAUGUUAUAUGCUUGAUGUUCUAUUUUUAUUUUAAAAAGAGAGUUAACUUUAUUUACCUGCCACUUGAAGUUCAUUUCUAAUUUCUCCCUUCUAAAAAUUUUUUUCUGACAGAAGAGAGCUGAGCAAUAACAUCAUCAACUUUCAUGCGCUCUUGUGGAAAUUCAACCGAACAAGAGAUUCCAAUUUCAAGUAUUGAAAUCAAACACUCGGUCAGUAUAUUAUUUCUCCUUGUAAAAUUGUGAUUAUGGUUUGGAGUUGCAUCCACAUUGAGUUGCAUAUUAAGAAGGUUGAGAUCUAUAACUUGAGUCACAUGUUCAGGCAAAGCUUUUUUAACAAAAUUGUGAAGGUUGAAACUCUCUUUGAACAUAUCAUCAGUGGGUCUCUUUCCUGUAAACAUCUCUAACAAGAGAACGCCAAAGCUAAAUAUGUCACCUGAUGUUGAUACUUCGCUUCCCACACCAUACUCUAGAAUACAUACAGAUUAAGAUAAGUUAGGUUAGAAAUUUUGAAUAAAACAUUUUGAACAAUCCAUAGAUUUGGCAUAACAAAAAUAGGUGCAAUUACCUGGAGGACAAUAACCAAAAGUUCCUCUUAAUCCAAGAGAGCUAAACUGAUUUGCAGAAUCUAUCAUGUCAUUAGAAAGGAACUUCACCAACCCAAAGUCACUUACAUGUGCUGUCAUUUCUUGAUCAAGGAGGAUGUUGUUUGGUUUUAGAUCACAAUGAACAAUUGGAACUCCACAAUGAACAUGAAGAUACUCAAGCGCACAAGCGACAUCAAUGGCAAUGUUAAGUCUUUGAAGAACAUUUAAAGUCCUUGGGACUUCAUCUGGUCUGAGAAUUGGAUGCAACCAAUGAUCUAGGCUCCCAUUGUUCAUGAAUUCAUAGACCAAAGCUUUGAAAUCAUUACCCUGAUAAUCGACACUUGAACAAGCUGUAAGUACUUUGACAAGAUUUCGAUGUCUGAUGUUCCUUAUAGCUGCACAUUCUGCUAUAAAACUCUUUAACGCUCCUUGACGAUGAAGGUUGAGCACCUUUACUGCAAUAACAAUUCCCUCAGGAUUGAGAAUUCCUUUAUAAACAGACCCAAAGCUACCUGUGCCAAUCAAGUUAUUUGAAGAGAAUCCAUCAGUGGCUUUAAGGAGACUUUGAUAAGACAAGUUCAAAAGUGCAUUGCCAAAAGAUGUCGAUGCAGAGCCUUCCUUUUUCUUCUUUGAGUAGCAAAGAAAUAAAUAAGUGAGCACAAGUGCUGCACUUAUAGCCACAGAAAGUGUAGAGAUUAUUAUCUUCAAUUUUAUGGUGAUUCUCUUGUUUGGUUUUUCAGAUUUGCAUGCAGGUAGCCCAAAAUCAGGUAUGCCGCCACAAAGCCUUUGAUUUCCUGCUACUGAUGUUGCACUUGCAUUCUUGAAAAUACCUUCUGUUGGCACCUUACCUUCAAAAUCAUUAUAAGAUAGGUUCAGAGUCGUUAUUGAAUUGAAUGCCUUUAGAAACUCCGGAAUCUUUCCUGACAAAUUGUUGUGAGAAACAUCCAAUUCUACAAUGCCUCUUAAUGAACUUAAAGAUGAAGGAAUGGAACCUUCGAAGUUAUUUUUGCUUAUGGCUAGAAGCUCUAGAAGGACACAACUGCCAAGACUAGUUGGAAUAUUACCUGAUAACAUGUUAUUAUCAAGGUUUAGGAUUUGAAGAUUUUUCAAAUUUCCUACUUCAUUGGGAAGGCUACCUGUCAAGUGAUUUUCAAACAAUCCAAAAUAUAUUGAUAGUGAAGAAAGUUGAAAAACUUCUGGAGGUAUGGAACCACUAAGGUUGUUUCUACCAAGAUUAAUCACAAUUAAGUUUUGGCAAUUGGCUAGACUCGAAGGGAUGAUGCCCUGAAGAUUAUUGCGAGACAAAUCAACUUGAAACAACUUUGUCAAGUUCCCAAUAGAAGAUGGAAUACUUCCUGUGAAUUCAUUAAAUUCAAGAAAAAGUAUUUCUAGAUUUUGAAGCUUUCCUAUUGUAUAAGGAAUGGUACCCGAUAAUCUGUUGAAUGCUGCAGAAAAAUCUUGCAAGCUUUCAAGAUAAAAUAUUCCAGAUGGGAUAUUUCCAAAUAUUUGGUUUUCUUCUGCAAUAAAACUGCCAAGCUUUUUGGAAAAAUUUCCAAUCUCUUGAGGUAGCUGUCCUCCAAAGUUGUUGUUGCUUAUGGCUAUGUAUUCUAGAUGGGAGGCAUUAGUCAAAGUGGUAAGAAAUUUCAAGUCAUCAUCGUUAACAUUCCCAGCUGCACUACCUCCUAAAUGGUUGUAUGCAAUAUUUAAGCUUUGUCCUGUUAUAAUCUUCUAUAUUUGUUAGGACAUGUUCUUUGUAUGUAACCAACUAAUUCCAUUUAGAUAUAUUGGGUAGGUGAUUGGAAAAGAAAAAGUUCCUUUACAUGCUACCGUAUAUUAAACUAAUAUCUUAAACAUUUCAGGAAUAGAUUUGCUUUCUGGGAGAUGUCUCCGGCGUCAAAAUCGAAGUCCAAGGACAAAAAGGCUGGCAAAGAACCCCAGAAGGCUUCAUCAAAGCCUUCUGGACCUGCUAAUGCAGGUAGUGGUAUUCCAGCUAGUGCAUACAAUCCACUUUCUGGGACAUUUCAUGCUCUUGAAUCAGUGCCAACAUCCUCUGCUUCAUCUGUGCACGCUAAUGGUCGUUUCCGCAACAUAGAUGACACAGAUGAUCACUUUAGUGGUUCACUUGGAGCUGGGGUCGAGUAUGAUUCUGUUUCAAAUAAUGGCAGCUGGUCUGGUGAGUCAGAAGAUCAUAAAGAUAAAAAUCCUCCUGUUCGGCAGGAAACCAUACCAGGGGCUGACAAUGACAAGCGGGAAAAAAUCCGCCAGAAGAAUGAAAGGAAGCAUCAACGUCAAAAGGAGAAGCGAGCCCAGGAAUUGCAUGAGCGGUGUAGUGGCUAUCUGAUGUCGAGAAAGCUAGAAGCACUUGCUCAGCAGCUUGUUGCAAUGGGAUUUCCACAUGAGCGGGCGACAAUGGCUUUAAUAUUAAAUGAAGGCAAAGUAGAAGAAUCUGUUUCAUGGCUAUUUGAAGGGGGUGAAGAUGGAGAUAAGAACUGGGAUCAAAACCUUGGAGGGGGUAAUUUGAAAAUUGAUAUAUCAGAAGAGCUUGCUCGAAUGGCUGACAUGGAAUUGAGAUACAAGUGCACCAAGCAGGAGGUUGAAAGAGCCGUGGUUGGCUCUGAAGGUGAUCUUGACAAGGCAGCAGAAAGUUUAAGAGAACUGAAGUUAGAUCCACCUUCUGCUCCCCCAAAGCCUGAGGAAACUGGUGAUCCUCCAACAGUUAGCAAUGGCAAACUUUCAGUUGCAGUUAGCCAGAAUAUGGUGAGACAACAACAGCAACAACAAAAACCCAAUCCACCUUCAUUGUUACAACAAAGGAGAGAUGACAGGGAGUUUAAUUACACAAAGACUGUUCCAGUGGCAGGGCCUCCUGAAUCUGGGAGUAAAAAUCUGCAGCCUUUGAAGAGAAUACAACCAAAGAUGGAGUGGGCAAAACCUCAGCAAAUGGCAUUCCCCGCCGAGAAAAGGUGGCCAAGUACAGGAUCAAGUCCUUCUGUUUCUUAUUCUUUGGCAUCGCCUUUACAAGUCUCACCUCCACCAGCUAAGACGACAGAAGCACGUUUUGUAGCUGUUGGAAAUGAUUAUAAGAAUCUUCAACCUGGAACAGUUAGGGAACCAGUGAUUAUGAUGCAAAGACCUCAAUCUGUGAAUACAAAGCAGGUUCCAGCUUCUAGCAUAAGCUCAUCUCCUCCUGGAACAGCUACCAGUUGGUAUCCUACAAAUGGUGUUGAUGCCAUCAAGUCUAAUGGCUUGAUGCAUCACAUUCCCACCACAAGAAGCCUUAGCCCUAAUAAUCUGAAUUCAAAUCAGAUGUUCCACCAACUUCAUUAUCAGCAACCGCAACACUUCGUUCCUGGCAGUGGUCCUGGGGAUUCUCCUGGAACCAGCAGAGGAAAUGGCUUAUGGAGUAGAACAGGUGCAUCAUCUACACUUGCUGCUGCUUCAUCGCUUGGACUCUUCUCUGGUUUGGGUGGAUCAGCUGGUUCAUCAGGGGCCUCUUCUCCAGUUGACUGGAGCACGGCGGGCUCAAUGGCUCAGUUGGACUACACUAGCAUAGACUGGAGUUUGGAUCGAGGUUUAGUCUCUCCAAGGCCUAGCGGAUUGUGGCUGGGGCCUGGAUCUUUUAAGAACAGCACCCAAAUGUAUGAUUCAAGUUCGUCUAGCUUGGGUGCUAAGCUGGCAAUGAGAACAGCUGCAACUGGGAAUGGUGUACGCAUUCCAGGAUUGCAGGAUGGUGGAGUUGCUAAUUCAGAAACAUCUGGUACUGGUUCUCAAGAAUGGACGUCGCCAUUCGAAGGGAAAGAUCUCUUUAGUUUACCCAGACAGUUUGUUUCAUCUCCUUCACUGUAGGGUGGAGGGGAAUGAUUUCAAUGAAUAAAAUGCAAAAAGAAAAAAGACCCGAAAAAUGUGUUGAAUUUGAUGUUGGUGUUGGUUCAUAUGAUGCUUCUCUAUUGAUUUUUGGUGAAUAUCCUUAUAGUGAAGAAGAAAAAAAAAAUGGCAUCCAAAGUCCUCUGCUUGGUACUCUUUUCUUUUACAUUACAUGCGAUUUGGUUGGAGAAAUUAGGACAAAAGAAUGGAAAGGUUAGCGAUGGAGGGAGUAGGAAGGAAUGAAAGUCCCAGAUGAAGUCCUACUUUCCAUUCAUUGUCCGUUCUUCAACACUUGUCAAAUAAAUGGAUGGAAAAUAAUUUUGUAAUUUAUAAUAACCAAAUCCACCGCAACAGCCGCCAUGAAAACCUACCUCCAUUCCAGCAGACUCUGUCUUGUAGGUUGUAUUCUUCCAAAUUCCCAAUUUAAUUCAAUACCCUCAAUGCUCCUUCUCACCUUAAUAAAGCUCGACAAUUCCAUCUCUAAAUCGACGCAUGCAAGCAGCUUGAUUUGAAAAUUCAGCUAAAAACGCUAAAAAUAAAUCUGACAGGGUGUCUCUCUAUCCGUCUCUAAAAGGAAAGAGAGGUGAAAGAAAUCCUAAACCAUGACUAUGUGCUUACGUUUGUUUUCUUUUUGCUUCAGUUGAGAAAUAACCUGUAAGAAUUAGGUUUUGAAAUCCCCAAAGUGAAACAAGCAAGCUUCGAAGCAGAGAUAGAAAAGAGGCACGCAACGAAGGAGUUGAAGAAGGAACCAAAAAAGUUCAUAUAUGAUUAUAAAUUGUAAUUUGAUAACCGUGUGAUUAAAAACUAUUCUUAAAUCCUCACCUAUAUCAACGGCAAAGUCUCUGUAAAAGGGUCCUUCAAACUACAGGUUUUGUUAUUAAAUUCAAUUUUUUGAUAAUAUAAUUGUUUGCUUGCUUCUAAUUACGACGGAGGAUGACCAUAAGGAUCACGACCUACACCGACACAUUUCCAUGGCCGCGGUCGCUGCCGCCACCACCAUUCCGAUCAAAAGCUAAGCAAACGAUGCUAAUUUUGCUUUCCCCGAGGCACUGCCAUUGCUGAACCCUUCUCUUCCUCUCUCUCUAAUUGCGGUCGUAGCAAUUCACUGCCUCCUUCGCUCCUCGAAACAGCAAAAGUUAUCCACCACUGGCGCAAGAAUUCUUUACAUAAAGAAAAACUGAGGUUGACAUUUUUCAAAUAAUUUGCUUGGGAGAAGAAAUGUUUACAAAUAAUCAGAGGCAAGAACAACGAACUGGAAAAUGCGGAACCCCAAAGCUCAAACAUCUUCAGGUUCUCCUUUUUCUUUUUAAUUUUUAAGUCACAUUAUUGUUUAUCUUGUUGUUUUAGUUCAAAAUUUCCAUUUUUUCUAUCAUCAUUACAGGAAUUGGUGAGCCAAUUUCAAAAUACAACUAAUGAAGGUAUGCUCGCAUUAUUAUUAUUAUUAUUAUUUUUGGGUUGAAUUGCCUCCAAACUAUAUUUUAUCUGCACCCGGAGAAUUAGAAUUUAAAUUCAACUAUAUAUGUAUUAACAGUGUGGAAUAUUGAAUGUAAAUGUGAUUUUUGAAUUAAAUAAAGUUUUGACAAUUUGAGAGUUUGUGGGAUCAACUUAAAUUUGAAAUGAAACAAUAAGAAUCUCCUCUUAGGUUUGGCCUAAAUUUGAACUUUAAUUCACAGUCACACCGAGUUUCAGGUUUUUUAAAUGUAUGAUGCAAUGGUCUUCCUGUGAUAGCAUCCGACUGUCCUGUUUCAAUCUUUUAAUUUAUCCUUUCUCCCUGUUCGACAGUUAAUUUUUUUUUUCCCACUUAGAAUCCUCAUUUUUUAAAUUUUGUGAAUGGUUUGUUCUUGUGGUUGCAGAAACCAAAGAGAGGAUUGUUGCUAACUUGGCAAAUUUUAUCCUUACAGUACAUUUAUGGUGUUGGAAUUAUUUUGCAAUGAAUGUGAACUGGGCUGUCUGUCUCUUACAUAUUCUGCCCCACCUAAAUAUCUUUUGUAUGUGGUGUUUGAUCAGCUCAAUGUUUUGGAACUCUUCCUAGAUUGCAUAACAAAACCAAAUUAGAAGCUUGUAAAUUUGGGAUUAGGGAUGUAUGCAAUUCUUGUUCUGGUAAGUCAAACAAUGUAAAAGUUUAGCUCUUGAAGAAGUUAAUAGUGAUGACAAUAUUUCUUUCUUCAAGCUGUCAAUAUAUUUGUCAUUCAAUGUGGUGUUAUACCCCUUAUCAUCGAAGGUUUAUCAAGCCCAGGUAGAAACACAGGAAGCGUGUGUUCCUUUGGUUUUUACCUUAUUAUCUUGAAACUUUACUCUCAAAACCUGAAUAUUGGAUCUUAAGAGGAGAAUGCAGCUAAUUGUAGGUUUGUUUUUAUAAUUUCUUAGAAACAAGAAACUGGAUAUUUUUAAGAAAGUAAAAUCUUUCUCGUGACCCUUGAUCAACAACUUCAUAAUUGAAUUACAAGGCAAUUGACAAUUAGUAAAUAUUAAAGGCAAGUGACAUGCAUUUCUAGUCUUAAUAAAUUUCAUAAUAAACCAUACAAACCAUUAGAAUACAGUUGCUGCUGCUACUGCUAUUGCAUGAUUUUAUUAUACAAGGCCUCUACUUCCACAUAUAUCAGAUAGACACAAACCAACAUUAGUUCUAAUUCUCACAUAGCAGUAGCUUUCCUAAUUUAUAAGAGUAGUAGGCAUCAACACAUGCAUACUUCACUUGAGCAUGAGUAAGCUGCUUAGCAUCCCAAUUACUCAAGGUUACAUACUUUGGCUUCUCUAACUCUUCCCCAGUUAUUGUCUCCACCAAUGUUUUCCACCCUGCUUUCUUGAAUUCUUUGUGAUCAAACUCGUCAGAUAGAUCUGCAACAUCUGCAAUGCACGAUAUCUCCAAGUCAUAGUACUUGGAAUGCAUGUAGCAUGGUAGAUUUGAAAGAUAGGGCAGCAUUUGCUGAUGCAGAGUUGGAGUAUUCCUACUGGGUUUUGAGCCCCACCACGUGUGAAGGUUGGACGCCAUUCAAUGUGGUGGCGGCGUGGAGCUUGGAGGUGGUCUUUGAUCCAUCUACCUGCCACCGUACUUGAGGAGGUCACUAUGGCUUGGACUAUGCGGUGGUGAAUAGAGACUUUGUGCAAUUUCUGGGUUUUAGUUCGAGAAAUGGUGACACCCAUGUCUUACAGACAACAGGAGAUUG
rnacentral:lncRNA from 1 species